rnacentral:rRNA from 1 species
AUUGAACGCUGGCGGCAGGCCUAACACAUGCAAGUCGAACGAGUGGCGGACGGGUGAGUAAUGUCUGGGAAACUGCCUGAUGGUGGGGGAUAACUACUGGAAACGGUAGCUAAUACCGCAUACCAUCGGAUUUGCCCCGAUGGGAUUAGCUAGUAGGUGGGGUAAAGGCUCACCUAGGCGUCGAUCCCUAGCUGGUCUGAGAGGAUGACCAGCCACACUGGAACUGAGACACGGUCCAGACUCCUACGGGAGGCAGCAGUGGGUAAUAUUGCACAAGGGGCGCAAGCCGGAAGCAGCAAUGCGGCGGGUAUGAAGAAGGCCUUUGGGUUGUAAAGUACUUUCAGCGGGGAGGCGUUACCCGCAGAAGAAGUACCGGCUAACUCCGUGCCAGCAGCCGCGGUAAUUC